rnacentral:rRNA from 1 species
AUUGAACGCUAGCGGGAUGCUUUACACAUGCAAGUCGAACGAGUGGCGGACGGGUGAGUAAUAUAUCGGAACGUGCCCAGUAGCGGGGGAUAACUACUCGAAAGAAUGGCUAAUCCCGCAUACCAUUGGAGCGGCCGAUAUCGGAUUGGCUAGUGGGUGGGGUAAAGGCUCAACAAGGCAACGAUCCCUCUCGGGUUUGAGCGGACGACCAGCCCCACUGGGACUGAGACACGGCCCAGACGCCUACGGGGGGCAGCAGUGGGUAAUUUUGGACAAUGGGGGAAACCCUGAUCCAGCCAUCCCGUGUGUAUGAGAAGGCCUUCGGGUUGUAAAGUACUUUUGGCAGAGAAGCGGUAUCUGCAGAAUAAGCACCGGCUAACUACGUGCCAGCAGCCGCGGUAAUUC